UGGCGGACGGGUGAGUAACGCGUGGGUAACCUGCCUCAUACAGGGGGAUAACAGUUAGAAAUGACUGCUAAUACCGCAUAAGACCACAGUACCGCAUGGUACAGGGGUAAAAACUCCGGUGGUAUGAGAUGGACCCGCGUCUGAUUAGGUAGUUGGUGGGGUGACGGCCUACCAAGCCGACGAUCAGUAGCCGACCUGAGAGGGUGACCGGCCACAUUGGGACUGAGACACGGCCCAA
rnacentral:rRNA from 1 species